GCACCAGUGGUCUAGUGGCAGAAUAGUACCCUGCCACUGUACAGACCCGGGUUCGAUUCCCGGCUGGUGCA
rnacentral:tRNA from 1 species